UCGAGAGUGGAGCUUGGCUCCGGGGGGCAAACCGCCCUCAACUCUUCACCCAUUGCGGACAUUAUUCCUUGUUGCCUUGGCGAGCUCCCGGGGGACUCCCCGGGCUCAUCGCCGAUGGCAUAUUUGAACGCUGUUUGGUGCAGUCGGACUAUAAAACCCACAAUUUUUAAAAACUUUCAACAACGGAUCUCUUGGCUCUGGCAUCGAUGAAGAACGCAGCGAAAUGCGAUAAGUAAUGUGAAUUGCAGAAUUCAGUGAAUCAUCGAAUCUUUGAACGCACAUUGCGCCCUUCGGUAUUCCGAGGGGCAUACCUGUUCGAGCGUCAUUGGCUCACCUCAAGCUUGGCUUGGUCAUGGGCGUGCGUCCUCCGGGACGGGCCCGAAAAGCAGUGGCGGUUCGACCUAGCUGCGAGCGUAGUAGUAAAUUUAUCCGCUCUGCCGGCUGCAGGUCGCGCUGGCCAGGCAACCUACAUUUUCGUAUCGGUUGACCUCGGAUCA
rnacentral:rRNA from 1 species